AUACGUAGGGGGCGAGCGUUGUCCGGAAUGAUUGGGCGUAAAGGGCGCGUAGGCGGCCCGGUAAGUCUGGAGUGAAAGUCCUGCUUUUAAGGUGGGAAUUGCUUUGGAUACUGUCGGGCUUGAGUGCAGGAGAGGUAAGUGGAAUUCCCAGUGUAGCGGUGAAAUGCGUAGAGAUUGGGAGGAACACCAGUGGCGAAGGCGACUUACAGGACUGUAACUGACGCUGAGGCGCGAAAGUGUGGGGAGCAAACAGGAUUAGAUACCCUGGUAGUCCACACUGUAAACGAUGAAUGCUAGGUGUAGGGGGUAUCGACCCCUUCUGUGCCGCAGUUAACACAAUAAGCAUUCCGCCUGGGGAGUACGGCCGCAAGGUUGAAACUCAAAGGAAUUGACGGGG
rnacentral:rRNA from 1 species